rnacentral:tRNA from 1 species
AAUAAAAUGGCUGAAUUAUAAGCGGUAAAUUGUAAAUUUAUUAAUGAGAAAUAUCUCUUUUAUUA